rnacentral:rRNA from 1 species
AUUGAACGCUGGCGGCAGGCCUAACACAUGCAAGUCGAGCGGCAGCGGGAAAGUAGCUUGCUACUUUUGCCGGCGAGCGGCGGACGGGUGAGUAAUGCCUGGGAAAUUGCCCAGUCGAGGGGGAUAACAGUUGGAAACGACUGCUAAUACCGCAUACGCCCUACGGGGGAAAGCAGGGGACCUUCGGGCCUUGCGCGAUUGGAUAUGCCCAGGUGGGAUUAGCUAGUUGGUGAGGUAAUGGCUCACCAAGGCGACGAUCCCUAGCUGGUCUGGGGGCAUGAUCAGCCACACUGGAACUGAGACACGGUCCAGACUCCUACGGGAGGCAGCAGUGGGGAAUAUUGCACAAUGGGGGAAACCCUGAUGCAGCCAUGCCGCGUGUGUGAAGAAGGCCUUCGGGUUGUAAAGCACUUUCAGCGAGGAGGAAAGGUUGAUGCCUAAUACGUAUCAACUGUGACGUUACUCGCAGAAGAAGCACCGGCUAACUCCGUGCCAGCCGCCGCGGUAAAAC